GCCUUCGUAGUGUAACGGUAGCAUACUCGGCGUUUAUUCGAGAGGUCCAGGUUCGAGUCCCGGUGAGGGCA
rnacentral:tRNA from 1 species